CAGCAGCCGCGGUAAUACGGAGGGUGCAAGCGUUAAUCGGAAUUACUGGGCGUAAAGCGCACGCAGGCGGUCUGUCAAGUCAGAUGUGAAAUCCCCGGGCUUAACCUGGGAACUGCAUUUGAAACUGGCAGGCUAGAGUCUUGUAGAGGGGGGUAGAAUUCCAGGUGUAGCGGUGAAAUGCGUAGAGAUCUGGAGGAAUACCGAUGGCGAAGGCAGCCAUCUGGCCUAAUACUGACGCUGAGGUACGAAAGCAUGGGGAGCAAACAGGAUUAGAUACCCGUGUAGUCCCUGUCUCUUAUAC
rnacentral:rRNA from 1 species